GUGGGGGACAUAGGAAGACCCUGUCUCUACAGAAUAUUUUAAAACUUAACCGGGCAUAAUGGUAAGGGAAGCGGAGGCAGGAGGAUUGCUCGGGCCCAGGAGUUCAGAGCUACAGUGAGCUAUGAUCAAAUCACUGCACUCCAGCCUGGGCAACAAAGCAAAAACCCUGACUCAAAAAAAAAAAAAAGAAAAAAAAGCGAAAGCAAACUCAAAGGUGCUUCCCCAGAAAUACCAGAAAUACAGAAAGUAAGAGAAUUCUGAUGGUGUGGACUUGACAUAUGUAAAGAAGUAGGGGGACAGCUUGCACAGGUGAUUUCCAAGGGCAUGAAAUAUUUCUUCUACAGUUAGUUAUAAGUUCUGCUAUAUCCCUACAGGAGGAAUUAAGCAUGUGGAAGGGAAAGAAAGCUCCAGCUGCCCUGGUUCAUAUGAGCAACAGGACCCAAUCUUUUCAGCUGGGUAAAAUGAAAAUCAGCAGGAGCUGCAUCUUUAUUCUGAUACCUGCUGAUCUCCCACUCAUGAUGUAAUAGUACAGGACACAGCUCAGAAGGUGCCAUCUUUGAAGCAGAGAGGGAGCCCUCACCAGACACCAAAUCUGCUACUGCCUUUGUCUUGGACUCUCCAGCCUCCAGAACUUCUGAUCUGGGUGUUUAAACUGACUACUUCACACUACCUCUCUUAGAAAAGGAAGAACCAAUUUAGAACAAUGUGCUUGGAGAAAUGAAGACUCCCUACGUUCCCUCCGCUCUCUACCUCCCACACACCCACUAACCCCUACUACAGCUAUGCCCCGGUGUCUUCAGGGAGCUCACCCAACAGGAGCAAGAGGACUUCUUUAAGCUGAGACUGCAAAGGUCAGAGACACCACUCAGCAAAGAGCCAGGAGGUGUGCAUUCUAAGCAGCAAAGCGGUUCUCAAUAUUCAGGAAAAGACCAGAUGUGGGGGCUCAUGCCUGUAAUCGAAGCACUCUGGGAGGCCAAGGCGGGAGGAUCCCUUGAGGUCAGGAGUUUGAGGCUGCAGUGAGCUACAAUGGCACCCCUGCACUCCAGCGUGGGUAACAGAGCAAGACUUGUCAUUACAUAAAUAAAUACUCAGGAAGAGAGAAGAAAAUGCCAGUAUGGCUUGAAUUUGGUUUGCUAUGGGGAGAGAGAGCAACGAGAUGAGGUUGGAGAGGUGGGGUUGGCGUCAGAUCUUGUAAGUCUGGCAAGGAGUCCAAGUUUUAUUCCAAGUACAAGAGCAAGUUUAAAUUUAAUGUAAGCAAGGAAUGACAAAUCUGACUUGUUUAGGGAGGCAGGACAUACAGUGGUUAAUAGUCCAAGCUCCAGAAUCAGACGACCUAGAUUUAAAUAUCAUUUCUACCAUUUAUUACAUGGGUGGGUGUAGGCAUAUUAUUUAAAAUCCACAUGUCAUGUUUCUCAUUUAUAAAAGAAAGAUAGCAGCAAUAAUAGCCCAGCAUAGGACUGUUUUAAAAUGAUUUAUUUGCCAAGCGUGGUGACUUAAUCCUCUCAUCGCAGCACUUUGGGAGGCUGAGGUGGGAAGAUGGCUUGAGCCCAGGAGUUUGAGAUCUGCCUGGGCAACAUAGGGGACCUUGUCUCUACAAAAGCAUUGGUAAAUGUUACUUGUCUAUAUUUUUAAAAACUAAUGCAUCCUACUGUGUGGAAAAUGGAUUGAGAGUGAGAGGGUAAGGAAAAAGACCAGCUGAGAAGUUAUUGAAGUGGCCCGAGGAAUAGUUCAUGGGGCUUGGUCUAAGUAAGUGAGGAUAGAGACAAAGAAAAGGAUAUAUAAUAAAGACAUGCUAAUUCAUUAGAUGAGGAAGAAUAAAUAACCAAUGAUGGUUCAUGGGUUUUGGACUGAAGAGAUGCCUUUUACUGAGAUGAGAAAAACUAGGGGUAGAAUUGGCUUAAGAAAAAAAUCAAAAGUUCAGUUUUAUCCAUGUCAUACCUCUUAAAUACUCAAGUGGAAAGGUCAAGAAGGCAAUUAGAUAAAACCAAGUAAAUGUAACUGUAGCUGGCUAGACUUCUUGUAGCAGAGAACAGGACUAGGCUCACCAUGUGAAACUGGGUGAAGAUAGAAAGUGUCAGGAAAAAUUACAAAAGACUUCGAAAUGGAUAAAAAAGAUUAGUGGGUGUCCUGUCUAGCUUUACCAUCCUGGUUAUCUCCAGAGGCUUUGCAACUCUCAAAGACAGUAAAUUCUGAAAAACCGGUAAUAGUGCCAAUGAUUCUUGCUCACAAAAGUGCAAUUGACUUGUGUCUGGUGAAAUGUAAUGGAUUAUGGUAUUGGAGAUAGACCAGUUUUUUAAAUCUGUUUGUAAAUUCAUUUCAACAUUUCUUUAUGCAUAUAAACAUGUGCUUCUUUGAAACAACUGUAACAUCUUACCGGUUCCCUCAUUAGUUAAUGAAUUAAAUAAAAUAUUUGACAAGCAUGGAU
rnacentral:lncRNA from 10 species